AUGCCCAAGCGGACCAUGGGAGGGAGGGCCGACGCCGGGGCCGACGCCAUGUCGCACGAAGCAUCCAAGCGCCGUGCGAAGCUGCACAUGGAGAAACCCCUCCCUGCCGGCGAGGGGUCCAGCCAGCAGCAGGGCGGCCUUGACGUUGUUGACCACGUCCAGGCUCCGGUGCAGGUGUCACCUACACCGGAGUAG
rnacentral:rRNA from 1 species